rnacentral:lncRNA from 1 species
GUGAACUACCCUGACAGGAAACCAAAACGUCAAUCUUUUCAGCUUCCUAGACGUCGGAUCCCCUGAAACACCGACGUCUAUAGACGUCGCUUUCUGGCACAACCGACGCCCAAUUUCAUUUUAAAUAAACCGCAGACCCUUCUAACCACUCAGUUUCUGAUCGCGUCUUCAUCUCUUCUUCUUUUUCUUUGCUUCUCCUCUUCUUUUACUCGCUUGCGCACCUCUACUUUUUAUCUCUGGCGGCAUUGCAUUGUGGUUUCUCAUAACGUCAUUGUCUUCGUCCUCUCCUUUUUCUCUCUUGCAUCCUAGGUACGUGUUUUUUUUUUUAUGCUUACCGUUUAAACUUUCUUUAGUUUUUUAUCCAUUAUCUUGUCGUUCAACUGAUUAAAAUUUGCUUUCUUUAUGUUGUGUUUUAGUGCAAUUUUGAUCCUCUCUUUGGGUAACACAGUGCAACAUUCUCCCUUUGUUGGUUUCCUCACAAGAAGAGUGGCGAUCUUUUGAGUUUUCUAGUUCUUCCGACCCAAAAUGGAACUUGGGUCCUUGUCUACUUCUCGACACCGUAAUUUUUUUCUCUUGCGGUUGAAUAAUGGGAAGUAGCCAUGGACCCAGGUUCGGUUUUGGGUUGAAAGCACUAGAAGAUUCAAAAGACGCAAGCUUUUUUUGUGGGGAAACUAGCGAGAGGAGAGUGUUACACAAUGCUACCGAAAGCCUGGAUCAAAACUGCACUAAAACACAAAAUUGUUGUUAGACGUCGGUUAAAGACAUGUCCGACGUCUAUAACAACGUAGAUGUCGGUUAGUG